rnacentral:rRNA from 1 species
UACGAAGGGGGCUAGCGUUGCUCGGAAUCACUGGGCGUAAAGCGCACGUAGGCGGAUUGCUAAGUCAGGGGUGAAAUCCUAGAGCUCAACUCCAGAACUGCCUUUGAUACUGGCGAUCUCGAGUCCGGGAGAGGUGAGUGGAACUGCGAGUGUAGAGGUGAAAUUCGUAGAUAUUCGCAAGAACACCAGUGGCGAAGGCGGCUCACUGGCCCGGUACUGACGCUGAGGUGCGAAAGCGUGGGGAGCAAACAGG